rnacentral:pre_miRNA from 1 species
UACAAUAUUUUGACUUUUCGUCUUAUUUGAAAUUUUUUGCGAUUAAUAUUUUUAUUCUUACUAGAUGGUAAAAUAUGAAUAGUACUUUAUGCGUGACUAAUUUUUUUAAGUUUUUGUAUAAAAUUUUUAAAUAAGACGAAUGGACAAACGUGGACACGAAAAAAC